CACGUAGGGUGCGAGCGUUGCCCGGAAUUAUUGGGCGUAAAGAGCUCGUAGGCGGUGUGUCGCGUCGGCCGUGAAAACCUGCAGCUUAACUGUGGGCGUGCGGUCGAUACGGGCAUCACUGGAGUUCGGCAGGGGAGACUGGAAUUCCUGGUGUAGCGGUGAAAUGCGCAGAUAUCAGGAGGAACACCGGUGGCGAAGGCGGAUCUCUGGGCCAUUACUGACGCUGAGGAGCGAAAGCGUGGGGAGCGAACAGG
rnacentral:rRNA from 1 species